rnacentral:rRNA from 1 species
GGGAGUAACUACUCGAAAGAGUAGCUAAUACCGCAUACGAUCUGAGGAUGAAAGCGGGGGACCUUCGGGCCUCGCGCGAUUGGAGCGGCCGAUGGCAGAUUAGGUAGUUGGUGGGAUAAAAGCUUACCAAGCCGACGAUCUGUAGCUGGUCUGAGAGGACGACCAGCCACACUGGGACUGAGACACGGUCCAG